rnacentral:rRNA from 1 species
AGCAGCCGCGGUAAUUCCAGCUCCAAUAGCGUAUAUUAAAGUUGCUGCAGUUAAAAAGCUCGUAGUUGAAUUUCGGGACCAUCAUGUCGGUCGUGCCUCGGUACGUACUGGCAUUGUUGGUUUCUACCUUCUGACGAACCAUGAUGUCAUUUAUUUGGUGUCGUGGGGAAUCAGGACUGUUACUUUGAAAAAUUAGGGUGUUUAAAGCAGGCUCACGCUUGAAUACAUUAGCAUGGAAUAAUGAAAUAGGACGUUUGAUUCUAUUUUGUUGGUUUCUAGGAUCGACGUAAUGAUUAAUAGGGAUAGUUGGGGGCAUUAGUAUUCAAUUGUCAGAGGUGAAAUUCUUGGAUUUAUUGAAGACUAACUACUGCGAAAGCAUUUGCCAAGGAUGUUUUCAUUAAUCAAGAACGAAAGUUAGGGGAUCGAAGACGAUCAGAUACCGUCGUAGUCUUAACCAUAAACUAUGCCGACUAGGGAUCGGAUGAUGUUAAUUUUUUAAUGACUCAUUCGGCGCCUUAAC